CGUCUCUUUCUCACGCUCCCUCUCGCUGCCUCCUCGUCUUCUCCUCACACACGCAUGCGUCAAUCGGCAGCUGAACAUUUCCAUCAUAUCUUCCUUUAUAAAAACCUUGAAAUUAUCGUUUAAAAAUGCCCAUUUUACCAGAAAGAUCCUCCUCACCCCGACCCAGAGAACAAUCCAGCUGAAAACGCCCCCGACUUUUUUUUUUUUUUACUCCCAAUACCGACCGGAUGACUGCGAGGAGGGAAAAAAAGAAAAAUUGCUCCUGAAAUCCUCCCAGUCGCCAGGCUGUAGGCUAUGAUGUUCAUCUGCGACCACGAGAAAUCAUCUCAUGACCCCCACUUGGGGAGCUGCAGCACUACGGGUCCACGUAGAGCAUAGAUCCACUCAUCUGGGACUUGAACUUUAAGACGUGCUACAAAGCUGCCAUGAGUCAGAUGUUAGCACCUGGAUCACCUUUAUCAGGAUGAAAAGAAUGCUGCCACUGAGCUGCACCGUAGGUAUUGUAAAAUCAAAAAGUGAGCCAACAGAAAUGUAGAAAAAGUGGCAGUUGAAGCAAGUAGGAGCUUUUGAAGCCAGGCAGACUGAUAGAGAGAGAGAGAGGGAAAAAAAUACAAUUCUACAAAUCUGUAUCAGUGAAUGAUUAAUUAAUUUUGUUGAAUGAUCUGUCCUAGCCUUGUGAGAUAUCAGUUUCCAUUUCUUUUACACUUUUACAGAAGAUCUCAAGAGACUGGUAGUUCAAAAGGCGGUUCAAUUUAGAGUUCCCAUUGGAAACGGCUUCAGAAAGUCUUUGCCAUACAUCGGGCUUUGAUGUGUUUUAACUGUCAUAAUCUUACUGUUCAGAAAUGGGGAAAAUAAAUUUGUUCUAUUGUAAA